rfam:Schistosoma margrebowiei strain Zambia genome assembly, scaffold: SMRZ_scaffold0001908
GCAUUGCUGAGGAGUCCCAUACCAGGGCGAAACAGCCGUCCAGUGC